rnacentral:rRNA from 1 species
GACGAACGCUGGCGGCGUGCUUAACACAUGCAAGUCGAACGGGAGUAUCAAAGAAGCUUGCUUUUAAGAUACUUUAGUGGCGGACGGGUGAGUAACGCGUGAGGAGCUGUCCUAUGCAGGGGGACAACAGUUGGAAACGACUGCUAAUACCCCAUAAGCCGAGAGGUAAAAGGAUUUAUCCGGCAAAGGAGGUACUCGCGUCCUAUCAGCUAGUAGGUGAGGUAACGGCUCACCUAGGCGAAGACGGGUAGCCGGCCUGAGAGGGCGAACGGCCACACUGGAACGGAGAUACGGUGCAGACUCCUACGGGAGGCGGCAGUGGGGAAUAUUGGGCAAUGGGGGCAACCCUGACCCAGCGACGCCGCGUGGGUGAAGAAAUCCUUCGGGAUGUAAAGCCCUGUUGUAUGGGAAGAGCAGAAGACGGUACCAUACGAGGAAGCCCCGGCAAACUACGUGCCAGCAGCCGCCGUAAUAC